GAUGAACGCUAGCGAUAGGCUUAACACAUGCCAGUCGAGGGGCAGCAUGGUCUUAGCUUGCUAAGACUGAUGGCGACCGGCGCACGGGUGCGUAACGCGUAUGCAACUUGCCUCACAGAGGGGGAUAACCCGUCGAAAGACGGACUAAUACCGCGUACACUUGGGAUAGGGCAUCCUGACCCAAGGAAAUGAAAUUCGCUGUGAGAUAGGCAUGCGUCCCAUUAGCUAGUUGGUGAGGUAACGGCUCACCAAGGCGACGAUGGGUAGGGGAACUGAGAGGUUGAACCCCCACACUGGUACUGAGACACGGACCAGACUCCUACGGGAGGCAGCAGUGAGGAAUAUUGGUCAAUGGGCGAGAGCCUGAACCAGCCAAGUCGCGUGAAGGAUGACUGUCUUAUGGAUUGUAAACUUCUUUUAGACGGGAAUAACAAGAGCCACGUGUGGCUCCCUGCAUGUACCGUAUGAAUAAGCAUCGGCUAACUCCGUG
rnacentral:rRNA from 1 species